GAUUACCCAAGCAUGCUUUUGUCAGACACUUCUCCCAAUAUUCCUGUUAAUUUACUAACCAAUUUGUCUAGUCAGCAUAAGAAAUUCCCCUCCAUUCUUCCCUUUUGUUACCUUUUGGAAUGAAACCCAAAUCAUAGGCCUCCUUAUCCAUUGUGCCUAAAUCCAACAAUUGGUCCAAUUCCUGUUUAGGCCUGGAACUCAGUAUGUUAAAUUAGAUACAAUCAAAAUCUCAAGUUUUUGAAUUAAUCAGUUAAGUAUUGUUAGUAAAAUAAAUAACAUUUUUUAUACUCAUCAUCUGAUCUGGUGAAUGUGUAUCAAUUGUGUGCAAAUUUCCUGUAUUUGAAAGAUUCACUGCUAUGAGAAAAACUUGAUUCGGAAAUUCUGAGGUUUCCCUUGUGUUUGAAAUUAGUAUUAACAAAUGUGUAAAUGUGUUAUUGUAAAUGGAAUGACAAUUGCAGUGACAUGGAAAUAGAUUUUGGAUCUGAAGAGAAUGCUUCCAUUGUAUUUUCUGCCUUAGCCGUUGACAAAGAGUUGCAACCCGAUAAAGUAAAACGACUCAUGACAGUGUCUGAUGGAAAGCUAUCAGCAUAAUUUAGCUUCGUGGGCAUGCUGAAUGUGUAAUCUUAUUUCUUCCGUUCUCCUUACGAUGCAUCUCAUUCAG